rnacentral:other from 1 species
CAUCCCCUGCGAUGUUCGUGAUUAACCGUUGUUUUUUGAUCCAACACCUUGGACCCGGGAACCUGUCCUUGUUCGCCGUGAGCAAGUCUGCCGUUAUCCGCGAGGAAGUGAGGCAGGAAGCCUGAAGCAGCAAAUUUAGGUGCCCACUUUUGGGAACGGUUCAAAAAGGUGGUUAACACGGCAUCUGCGGGGGGUUC